UGCGCCUUGCCAGCCCGCUCAGAAACUUAAAUGAAUUGACGGGGGCCCGCACAAGCGGUGGAGCAUGUGGUUUAAUUCGAUGGUACGCGAGAAACCUUACCAGGGCUUGACAUACACCGGAAGCGCCGUGAAAGCGGCGUGCCGCUUGCGGCCCGGUGAACAGGUGCUGCAUGGCUGUCGUCAGCUCGUGCUGUGAAGUGUUGGGUUAAGUCCCGUAACGAGCGCAACCCUUGUCCUUAGUUACCAGCACGUUAUGGUGGGCACUCUAAGGAGACUGCCGGUGACAAACCGGAGGAAGGUGGGGAUGACGUCAAGUCAUCAUGGCCCUUACGGCCUGGGCUACACACGUGCUACAAUGGUCGGUACAAAGGGUUGCCAAGCCGCGAGGUGGAGCUAAUCCCAUAAAACCGAUCGUAGUCCGGAUCGCAGUCUGCAACUCGACUGCGUGAAGUCGGAAUCGCUAGUAAUCGUGAAAUCAGAAUGUCACGGUGAAUACGUUCCCGGGCCUU
rnacentral:rRNA from 1 species